GGUUGCUGCCACCCGUUUGGCGAUGGCUUUGGAGGAAUGGAAGGUGAAGGUUGUUUCAUAAGUAUGUAAAAUAAAAAAAAUAAAAAAAAAAAAAACCCCUAGGUAGGAGAUGGUGGUGAAUGGUGGUGGACCUCGGGGUGGUGGUUAGGCGGUUGGUGACAACGGUGGUGAGAUUAGUUCAGAAGUCCAGGUUUUGGUACGUGGUGACUCAAAGUCGUGGAUUUGGGGAAAAAAAAAAAAAAAAAAAAAAAAAAAAAAAAGAAGAAAAAUAAGAAAAAUAAAAAAUCUUUAAAAGAAAACAAAAAUGAGGUAAUUGUGGCAACAUUUAAUUAGUGGGUAAUUAUUAUUUAAUAUUUUAGAAAGCCACGCGCCUCGUCGAGAAUGCAGGGUACUGUGUAAUAACGUUGAAUAUUGGUUGAUAAUUUCAUUAUCAAUUCACUCAAGAG
rnacentral:lncRNA from 1 species